UAUCCUGGCUCAGGAUGAACGCUGGCGGCGUGCUUAACACAUGCAAGUCGAACGGACUCAUAUUGAAACCUAGUGAUUUAUGAGUUAGUGGCGGACGGGUGAGUAACGCGUGGAAAACCUGCCGUAUACUGGGGGAUAACACUUAGAAAUAGGUGCUAAUACCGCAUAAGCGCACAGCUUCGCAUGAAGUGGUGUGAAAAACUCUGGUGGUAUACGAUGGUUCCGCGUCUGAUUAGCUUGUUGGCAGGGUAAUGGCUCACCAAGGCGACGAUCAGUAGCCGGCCUGAGAGGGUGAACGGCCACAUUGGGACUGAGACACGGCCCAAACUCCUACGGGAGGCAGCAGUGGGGAAUAUUGCACAAUGGGGGAAACCCUGAUGCAGCGACGCCGCGUGAGUGAAGAAGUAUUUCGGUAUGUAAAGCUCUAUCAGCAGGGAAGAAAUAUCGACCUUUGGGUCGCCAGACGGUACCUGACUAAGAAGCCCCGGCUAACUACGUG
rnacentral:rRNA from 1 species